CCAGACUCCUACGGGAGGCAGCAGUGAGGAAUAUUGGUCAAUGGCCGAGAGGCUGAACCAGCCAAGUCGCGUGAGGGAUGACGGCCCUACGGGUUGUAAACCUCUUUUGUCGGGGAGCAAAGAGAGUCACGUGUGGCUCAUUGAGAGUACCCGAAGAAAAAGCAUCGGCUAACUCCGUGCCAGCAGCCGCGGUAAUACGGAGGAUGCGAGCGUUAUCCGGAUUUAUUGGGUUUAAAGGGUGCGCAGGCGGAUUUUUAAGUCAGCGGUAAAAUCGUGGGGCUCAACCCCAUCCAGCCGUUGAAACUGGGGAUCUAGAGUGUGCGAGAGGUAUGCGGAAUGCGUGGUGUAGCGGUGAAAUGCAUAGAUAUCACGCAGAACCCCGAUUGCGAAGGCAGCAUACCGGCGCCCAACUGACGCUGAAGCACGAAAGCGUGGGUAUCGAACAGGAUUAGAUACCCGAGUAC
rnacentral:rRNA from 1 species